UGUGGAUGGAAUUGACAACUCAUUUCCAUGGACACCAAGAUGAGGGGAAAAAAAAUUAAAGAUUCAACCAUAAGGCAUAGUCUCUGUUUUUAAAUAAAUUGCAGAACAAAAGCAGUAAAACUUUAACAAGGCAGAAAAAAAAAAACCUAGAGUGGCCAAGAGCAAGGCAGUCAUCUGAUUGGUCGAUGUAAACUAAUUCUCUAAUAAAUUUUUGGUUAAUUGCCAUUGUUUGGUAUUAAAAAUCAACUAGAUUCAAAUUGUAAGUGAAUGGUAAAUGCACACACACACACACACAAAUGCAGUCUAGUUGAUGAGUUGCACGAAUUAAUCAUACCACACAUGCUCUUCCUACUAAAUGUCAGCGUCCCAGCAGGGGAUCUAGUCUGUGUCUCUCCUUCUAAACCCCAUUCAACAAAGG